AUGCAAGUCGAGCGGACCGACGGGAGCUUGCUCCCUUAGGUCAGCGGCGGACGGGUGAGUAACACGUGGGUAACCUGCCUGUAAGACUGGGAUAACUCCGGGAAACCGGGGCUAAUACCGGAUGCUUGAUUGAGCCGCAUGGUUCAAUUAUAAAAGGUGGCUUUCAGCUACCACUUACAGAUGGACCCGCGGCGCAUUAGCUAGUUGGUGAGGUAACGGCUCACCAAGGCGACGAUGCGUAGCCGACCUGAGAGGGUGAUCGGCCACACUGGGACUGAGACACGGCCCAGACUCCUACGGGAGGCAGCAGUAGGGAAUCUUCCGCAAUGGACGAAAGUCUGACGGAGCAACGCCGCGUGAGUGAUGAAGGUUUUCGGAUCGUAAAACUCUGUUGUUAGGGAAGAACAAGUACCGUUCGAAUAGGGCGGCACCUUGACGGUACCUAACCAGAAAGCCACGGCUAACUACGUGCCAGCAGCCGCGGUAAUACGUAGGUGGCAAGCGUUGUCCGGAAUUAUUGGGCGUAAAGCGCGCGCAGGCGGUUUCUUAAGUCUGAUGUGAAAGCCCCCGGCUCAACCGGGGAGGGUCAUUGGAAACUGGGGAACUUGAGUGCAGAAGAGGAGAGUGGAAUUCCACGUGUAGCGGUGAAAUGCGUAGAGAUGUGGAGGAACACCAGUGGCGAAGGCGACUCUCUGGUUCUGUAACUGACGCUGAGGC
rnacentral:rRNA from 1 species